UCAUCACUUUUAAAUCAUUAUUAAUUUGCGUACAAUUACGUAUACGUUGAAUAAGCCACCUGUAACGUUGUGGGAGAUUGGAAUAACAAUAUUGCGCAGUUUCAUUUUCCAAAAGAGGUUUGUCAAAAGAAAGUACUAAACUGGAGUCCUCAUGUUCUGCGGCCUAUAAGAAAAUAUAUAAAAGAAGAAAGUCAAAUUGCUAAGAAUGUUAAGAGGAAGUUGAGAGAGCAGAGUCAAUGGAAGUUCUUAAGCAAAAAGCACAAGACAUCAUUCAACAAUGUACCAAUCUUGGAGUACAAGUCGCCAAAAUCGAGGGGCGUUGCAGCGAAUUGCCACCGGAAAUGACGGAAAUUAAAUCGAGUGUAGCAAUACAAAUUGAAAUGGCAAUAGACUUACGGAGUAAAAUUGAUGGGGUAGAAGCAAUUGGUUUCUCUGAAUUUAAGUCUAUGCAAGAUCACAUUUCGUCAUUACAAGCUAAGAUUACUGAGCUGCACGAUCACAUUUCGUCAUUAGAAGCUGAGAUUACUGAGCUUAAAUCAUCAAAGGAAUUAUUGGAAGAAAAAGUAAAUUCGUUGGAAAA